GUAAGGAAUAUUGGUCAAUGGGGGCAACCCUGAACCAGCCAUGCCGCGUGAAGGAUGAAGGCGUUAUGCGUUGUAAACUUCUUUUGUAUGGGAAGAAUGACAGGGAUUCAUCCUUGGAGAGACGGUACCAUACGAAUAAGCACCGGCUAACUCCGUGCCAGCAGCCGCGGUAAUACGGAGGGUGCAAGCGUUAUCCGGAAUCACUGGUUUUAGAGGGUACGUAGGCGGUUAAUUAAGUCAGUAGUGAAAGACUGUCGCUCAACGACGGAUGUGCUAUUGAUACUGGUUAACUUGAAUCAGGUUAGAGUUGGCGGAAUGGGUCAUGUAGCGGUGAAAUGCUUAGAUAUGACUUGGAACACCGAUAGCGAAGGCAGCUGACUGAGCCUUGAUUGACGCUGAGGUACGAAAGCGUGGGGAUCGAACAGGAUUAGAAACCCGUGUAGUCC
rnacentral:rRNA from 1 species